rnacentral:rRNA from 1 species
GAGCUCAGGCUCGAUGAGUAGCUGGUUGAGAGGAUGAUCAGCCACACUGGGACUGAAACACGGCCCAGACUCCUACGGGAGGCAGCAGUGGGGAAUAUUGCGCAAUGGGCGAAAGCCUGACGCAGCGACGCCGCGUGAGGGAAGAAGGUCUUCGGGCCGUAACCUCUGUCUAGAGGGAAGAAACCAUUGAGGUCGAACAGGCCUCUUUGUUGACGGUACCUCUGAAGGAAGCACCGGCUAACUCCGUGCCAGCAGCCGCGGUAAUACGGAGGGUGCGAGCGUUAAUCGGAAUCACUGGGCGUAAAGCGCACGUAGGCGGUGUCGUAAGUCGGAUGUGAAAGCCCUCGGCUCAACCGGGGAACUGCAUUCGAUACUGCGAUGCUUGAGUGCCGGAGAGGGUGGCGGAAUUCCAGGUGUAGGAGUGAAAUCCGUAGAUAUCUGGAGGAACACCAGUGGCGAAGGCGGCCACCUGGCCGGCAACUGACGCUGAGGUGCGAAAGCGUGGGGAUCAAACAGGAUUAGAUACCCUGGUAGUCCACGCUGUAAACGAUGGAUGCUAGUGGCCGGAG